GCGUAUUCCGCAACCAAUUGCCCAAUCCCUUCCUCGCCUCAGUCCCGUGCCAGCCGCCGCCCAAACCCUAGCCCCCGUUUCCCUCGAUCCCCACAGCCUCUCCCGCCUCCUCCAUCCCUCGUCCUCCCAUCACCACGUCCUCUGCCAUGGAGCCUCGCCACCGCGUGCUACUCCUCCACCACACUGCCCUUCCACCUCGCCAUCCUUCUCCUCUCUGUCUAUGCGGUCGUCGGUGGCGCCUGGUUCCAAAUCCGGCGCAGGUUAGCCGAGUCGGCCGAUGGUGAGGUGAAGGAGCAGGGUAGGCGACCCGUCGCGAUGGGAUGAGGCUACAGGGAAGAGGGUCAUGUCGCGUGGUGGCCCAGAUGCAGCCGCCCCAUGGCCGGCCUCGACGAGCACGGCCUCGAUCCGGCCUCAGCCGGAGGACCUCGAGCCUAGGAGUGCGGCCUCGAUCGGGACUCGGCAUCUGGGGCGACGACGGAGGAGGAGGGGAAAGGAGGGGAGCAGCAGCCAGCAUCUGGGGCGGCGGCGGCUGGACUCCAUGAGCUGGCCGAGGUGCUUCAUGUCAAGGAAGCAGCUGACAGUUCAAGCUGACCUGCUGGUGUUGCUGCUGUGCUGGUCAGGGAGUGAGUCCACUGACAUACGGACACAAGAGAUAUUCAGUUAUGAGGAUUAGGAUAUUAAUGAUCGUUCAGUCAUUGAGGAUUAAAAGAGGCAUCAAUGCUCCAGUAGAGGUGGUAUUGAAGUUGUGGCUGUCAGUAGUCCUUUUAUUGAUGCUAACUACAUGGCCUAUAUGUUCAAGUAUGACUCCACUGAUGGCCCCUUUAAAGGAUCCAUUAAGGUUGUGGAUGAUUCAAUAUUGGAGAUUAAUGCGAAAAAAUCACAACCACAAGCAAAAGGUAAAUAUGCCAGGGUUAGCUGAUUGUUUGCCAUAUUAGUGCGGUUGAUAUAGAUGCCAUGGUUUCUAAAUAUGCAUGACAUGUUGUCCUGAAAUAAGGACAUGUGAAGCAAUGAAGUAGCCAAAGUAACAUUAUUACUUAAUAAUCGAUUCAUAGUUUAGAGCCCCAUGUUUUUCGCACAUUCAUACGGACAUAUAAUAGCUUACAAGUGCACGCUUGUUGUACAUCUCGAGUACUGGAUGUUCCUUCUCUUAUUUUGAUUCUGAUGUUCAUAUGUUGAUUUUCUGCGAUGGAGGGAAAGGGGAAGUCUGAAUGUGCCAACAAGUAGCGACCAGUGAGCUGUCGUCUAUGAUUGGCUAUGGGAGGAGUUGUCUUGCGCUGCAAGGGCAUCUUGCAGAUCGAUUUCCUUGGUUUGAUGUAUCUCGGAUUCUGAUUAGUCUUUGAUUUCACACAUUUGUUUGGAUGUUUUCUUUGCGCCAAGCACCAUGCUUUUUGAUCACUGGUCAACUUGCACAGUACUAUCUAAGCAUAGUUGUUGGUUCUGAGUCUUUGCAGCACAUAACAAAUUUUAGCUUUCAGGAAUUAUGAUAUUGGACAUUUCCACUGAACAUGAAGAGGGUACAUGUACGGACAUGUAGAAACUGGAGUAAAUUAACAUAAUCCCGUAGAAUGUAGUCGGAGAAUAGUACGCCAACUCAGUGAGGCAAGUACUGGCCUGUUUUGCCAUGCCUGUGAUAAAUGAAGGUUAGUUUAUGUAAUCUUAGUUAUCAAAUCAUUUUCUUAAAGUUUUGAUUAUGAAUCUAAGUUAUGGGAAAUAAGUGGAGUAAGAGGAAAUGGGGCGUUGUUAGGCGGGACCUUGCUACUGUUGCCUUGGGUUUUGGCAUCGAAGCACCACCAUGUAUGGCUAGCCUUCCAUGGCUACAUUGAGGGUCCCAAUCUGCAGGACCCCAUGCAGCGUGCAUUGGACAGUGUUGUGGAGGGUCCAAUUUCCUCAUGAUUUAAGAAGCUCUGUGUAGUACCAAACUUAAUUUGAGAACACUGGCGCCGAGGAUCUGCUGCUCUGUCUCGGGGCUCAGCGCCCUCUUGGGCGCAGAGGUUGGCGUGCUCUCCCUCUGCACCAGGGUUCUGAUGGCCGCGCUUCGUCUGGCAGCGCUAGACAACGGCAAGAAGGAAGAGCUCGGGCCACCCGCGACGCCAGGCCGCCGGCCCUCCUCCCUCGAGCGCAAGGCGGCGAAGAGAUGGUUGAGAUGGUGCUGCAGCUCCGCAUGUACUGGCUUCUACAACGUCUCUUAGAAUUUGGUUGCUACUUCUUGCUGAUCAGGUGCAAUGUAUUAAUUCAAGUAGUAUGUUAUGUACAAUUUGUCAAGAGCAAUCGGAUGUUAAUCUGCUAUGGGCAGCGGCGGUACAUGAAGGUGCAAGGCAGCAGCGACAUGUUCAUAGUACGCUAAAGGAUGAGCUCCUACUUGUUCUGAUGCUAGCUCCUUGCUGCAGAUAUACAAGCCUGCUUACAUCUCCCAAUAUCUCCUCCUGGUCAAGGCAAUUGCACAUGAUGAAGACGCUCAUUUUAGAUCAGUUCAUGGCAUAUGUGUCUAUUUGUGUCUAUUUCCUUUAGAUGGUUCUUCUGUGCGACGACUGGAAAAUAUAAGGUUUCUCAUGUGAUAUUGCAAUCAGGACAAAAAACAGAAUGAUUAAUUUUCACAAUUUGAUAUUUCAUAUUUUCCAGAAGUACGACUACCUUCGCACAGUACCCUUGCAUUUGUGUUCUUAUCAAAUAAGUUUCUUUCUGCAGAAUUUGUUCAGGUUUUGUCUCGCUCACACCUCAAGAUGCGAGUCUGGGAGUGCGGUGCUGGUAUAACUGAUAUCCCUUUGAUCUUCGUUAAAUUUUGUAGGAUAUGCAUUGUGCUUGAGCAUGAGAAAUCUUUUCCCUCCCUGCAUUAUCUUUAUAUGUUAUAAAAAUGUUACACAUGUUUUGGUCCUCCAAAAGAUUAUUAGCCCAUAAAUCCAUAAUGUUAAUAACUCUUAUGUAUGAUGAUUGAGUGAGAUAUCCUUUUAUCUCCAGGCAUUUCUUUCAUGUAGUGGAUAUACAAAAUAAACUGUAUGAUCUAGACUGUAGGAGCAACUGGUGCUUGUGGGACUGGUGCUUGCAGUUGUUGCAGCUGUUCUUGAGGGCCGAGCUGAAUGUAUCUGAGAAAGGUCUUUGCUUCAUUUUUUUCUUUCGAUGGGAUAAUGACUUUUCGUUUCAAAACACUUAGUAUGUGAUCUAUCCAUCAAAUUAUAAUAUAAUAAUUCAGCAGAAUCCCUUUAUUUGAACGAGCAAGAAUCUGUGGUGUGCUCCUGAGCUAUGUCCCCCUUUUCAAAAUGUUAGAAAGGCUAUCUUAACUUAGUCGUUGCAUAGAAAUUGGUUUUGGCUAUUAGGCUCAUUUCAUAUCUGCAUCACUUAUUUGAACAGACACACUCCACAACUGAACUCACAUAAGAGGGCAGAUAGAUGAUAUCUUGUCUGCUCAGUGAUUACCUAGAAUACUGGACUCUCCACCAACUUACAAAAAUAUUUUUUGCAGGUAUAUUUCCUUUAUCACUCCCCCAGCAGACAUGAGUUCUCGUGGCGGGGUCUUUCAUGCCGUCAUGUUAGGAAUUUAUUAUUGGAUUGCAUAUGAGGUUCUUCUUCAGGUUUCCACUUGUUUCUUACUCCCUCCGUCCGAAAAUACUUGUCCGAGGAAUGGAUGUAUCUAGAUGUAUUUUAAUUCUACAUACAUCCAUUUGUAUCCAUUUUGACGACAAGUAUUUCCGGACGGAGGGAGUACUUAAGUUAGCUAUCCAUUCUGGAUUUAACGUGAAUAUUGCCUUUGUAUUCCAUAUGAAAUUCUACUAUUUGUUUUAGCUUCUGUAGUUUUCUAUUCAUUAUCCCUAGACAUUAUCAUGUGUGUGUCGAUACGCUUCGUGGAUGGUGAGGUUUAAUAUCGCUUGCUUGUCGCCUUCUCUGCCCUCGACAUGCGGAAGGCCAAUAAAGGCGGGGACGAGUCAUGGAUCCUGCUGGCGAUGGCUACUGGUUGUAGACGAGAUUUAAGCAGAGGAAUCGCAAAAGAUGUUCUCUUUCCAAGAUUUUCACAUCAUAUUUGUCGUCGGAUCUGACUGCUUUACCAUAUUUUCCUGGUGUGGACGAUGUUAUAGAGUGAGCUACCAUCACUUCUCAUUACUGACUGUAAUCAAUAUAUAUGUGUUUAUGCCAUAAAAGAUGGAUAUUUGUCGAAGCCAUUGUCGUGUCAUGUAAUUACUUGCAGAUCAACUAUAUAGUUUUGUUCGGAUUGUAAAGUGGAAACGAUAAAACCCUACAACUCCUGUGUGAUUGUCAUUUGAUUAUUUACUUCCUCAAGUAGUAUGGAUAUGGUACUGCCAGGAUAUUAAGUAUAUUCAUGAAGUUGUAUAAACCACGUUCUAUGAUUCAC